CCUACGAGAGGCUGCAGUGAGGAAUAUUGGUCAAUGGCCGGAAGGCUGAACCAGCCAAGCCGCGUGAAGGACGAAGGUGCCAAGCAUUGUAAACUUCUUUUGUCAAGGGACAAAAUCAGGCACGAGAGCCUGACCGAGGGUACUUGAAGAAAAAGCAUCGGCUAACUCCGUGCCAGCAGCCGCGGUAAUAGGGGGGAGGCGAAUGUUAUCCGGAUUUAUUGGGGUUAAAGGGUGCGUAGUGGGGCUGUUAAGUCAGCGGUAAAAGUCCGGGGUUAAACCCCGGCGAGCCGUUGAUACUGGCUGUCUUGAGAUGUCGUGAGGUAUGCGGAAUGCGCAGUGUAGCGGUGAAAUGCUUAGAUAUUGCGCAGAACUCCGAUUGCGAAGGCAGCAUACCGGCCGCGAUCUGACGCUGAGGCACGAAAGCGUGGGUAUCGAACAGGAUUAGAUACCCCUGUAGUC
rnacentral:rRNA from 1 species